AUGGCACAUGUAUACAUAUAAAACAAACCUGCACGUUGUGCACAUGUACUCUAGAAUUUAAAGUAUAAUUAAAAAAUAAUAAUAAUUAAUUAUAAUAUUAAAAAUUAACCAUUAUAAAUAAUGGUAUCAAUUCUGGCAGAAGCCCCAAGGCCUGGAAAAAUAAGUGCUGGAGCAUUUGUUCAGGACAUGUUCAAAUUUUAUAAAACUGGUCACUGCCAUCAUUAGUCCAUCUUGCCCAUCUGGGCUUUGUUAGACAAUGCCAAGAACUCAUUCAUUAAUAAGAAAUAUGUAUUAAUUAAAUACAUAUUUAAUUUUCUUAAGUAAAGUUUUUAGUGUACUGUGUACUUUCUUCUACCUUCCCCUAAAUGAACUAAGAGAGGGACUUGGAAAAUCCAUAAGAAAUUUCUGCUCAGGUCCACUGAAGUUUAGAGGGACCUGGUCUGGUAGCUGGCUCAUAUCUGUAAGCAUGUGAAGGUGAGCAGCUGGCUGGAGCUGUGUCAGGAAUCUCCUGUGCACUCAAAUUUAUUUAUUUAUUUAUUAAUUUGGGACAGUGUCUGUCUCUGUCACCCAGGUUGGAGUGCAAUGGUGCGAUCACAGUUCACUGCAGGCUUGAUCUCCCAGGCUCAAGUGAGUCCCCUACCUUAGCCUCCUGAGUAACUGGGACCACAGGUGAAUGCCACCACAACUGGCUAAUUUUUCUGUAUUUUUUUUUUUUUUGUAGAGAUGGGGUUUCGCUAUGCUGCCCAGGCUGGUCAAAUUUCACACAGGAAAGAUGCAUGUUUUCUAGGAUCUUAUGUGGACCAGACUGGAUCUUCUUGAAGGCUUCCAAGCAGAAGUCAGCCCUGUGCUGAGAGAGAGGCAAGAAGGAGGCUGUCAUAUGAGGAAGUCACCCUAUAAAAAGAACCAGAUUUGCUUUUUGCUUGCUUGCUUUCUCUUUCUGUUCCUCCCUCCCUCCUUCUCUCUCUCUCUCUCUCUCUUUCUGUCUCUCUCUCUUUCUUCCUUUCAUUCCUAUCUGAAGAGAAGACUACUUAAUUAAUACCUGAAAGUGAUUGGAAAUCUUACAAAGUUUGCUUGAGAUUUCCUCUGGUAGUGGAAAAUUUAAAAAGACUCAACAAAGUAAGUUAACAGGUAAGUUAUUGGCUGAUAAUAGAAUUACUUUGUGUUUGCACCCUACCAAAUAAUGUAAUAGACUAAACUUUGUCUGUUUAGUCAGUAAUGCUCUGUGGGGAGGAAGCUUCUUUCAGGAAUGAGAAAAAGAGAUGAGUGCUCCAUCAAGCUGGGCUGCAUGGCAACAGCCACCAUCCAGGUUACAGAGGAGCAAAGGACAUGGUGGUGAUAAUGUGACUCCCGUUCAAGGUAAAAACUCUAGGCUAAUAAACAUUUGUUUUGUAAACGUCUAUCAUCUGAUAUGGGAUAUAAUACAAAGAUAGUCUUAAUGUCAGACAUAUGUAAAAGAGAGAGUAAAAACUUACAUACUGCAGUGCAGAUGUGCAAAAAAAUUAAACUUUCAUUUUUAUCUAUAGCCAACUACAUAUUAUUUUUGAGUUCUCACUCCUGCUGAUGUCAUAAGAAAAUGUAAGCCAAUUAAAUUCAUAUAUAUAAAAAUUUAUGCUAAUUAAAUAUAUCUCAGACUUGGCUAAUUUUAAGUGGUUUCUUCUUUCCUAAUUCAACCUCUUUUGGAUACAUAGUCAGUGAAUUCCAAAUUUAAACUCCCCAAAUAGUUGUUUUGUUUCUUUCACAAGACGACUCCUUUGUUUUCCUUCUGAAGAUGGCAGGUAGAAGUAGAGGAGGGAGGCACAGACUGGGAGUAGGGGAGGAGGCAUAGAAGGCACUUAUUCUCCUGAAGGUAACAGAGCCAGGCCUGUGAGCAAUGAGUUUCCUCGUUGGUCUCUUUGGUGCUUGGGUGGCCCGGCCUCAUUUUGGGACACCCUGGACUGCUGUCUGCUGAGGUGUGGCUAAUUCUGUCCAGCCUUUCUGAGGUAUUUUGCUGGCACCUACUGCCCAUUUUUGUGAUAUCCACUAUAUCUUUUGAACUAUUACUAUCUCUUUUUCAUAAUCUGCAGCCUUUUCAUCCAAGCCCCAGGCCUCUGCCACGGUCUUCUCAUCAUUUCUGGGCACCUGCCGCAGCCCUGGAAGUCCUGCAUUUUUGAUGUGCCCUCCCUCAGGCCCAUUUAUCUAGAAGCCUCCCUUGCACCUGCUACUUUACAGCUGCCACGAUGGAUGUGGCAAGGCCAUGGAGCCCAGCCAGACCACUACUUCCCUAGGUAGGACUGUGAGAGUCAGGAUCUGCCCCAGACUGCCACACAGUUGGAAAUCUACUAAGGAAGAUGUACAUUCUCUAGACUUGAAGCCCAAUCCAGGCCUUAGGUUGAGGUGGAUGUAAGAGAAGGUGAGGGGAGGAAAGGUGAGCAUCUUCCUCACCACACCUCCUCCCUACUCUGCUCUUACAGUAUGUCUUAGAGAUAAGUAAGAGUUCUCAAGUGGCAAGGCAUAGACACUGAAACUUCUGAGAAAAAUUAGCUAUUUUGUGUUUACAAGAUAAUGGGACCAUUUGCUUUUAUGUCAUGAAAGUGGGGAAAGUAGAGCAGGGACCAAAAAGAAAUGUGUGGAGAUUGAAGAGCUUCUCACAGCAUGCAACACAUGCAAACAGUUUUCAAAAUCACUGCUUUUCAGUCCAUGCCUAUCUUUCAGCUCAGGCCAGCAUACGGUCCUGACUUGUCCUGCUCUUCGCACUCUAGAAACUGAGAUCAGCUUGGCCAGAAAAAGGAAUGGGGUUGCCUCUCUAGGUUCUUGUUGGAUAAGACCGUACUAUUGUAUCUUUAGUGACUAGAUUGCAACACUUCAACAAUAAUCCUGCAGGACCACCUGGUCUGGCCUAGGCCUUCCUGAGGCUGCAGAGUAAGGAGAGUAUGCAUUAAGGGUGUUAAUAUGAGCUCAUCUACUAGAAGGCCUAGGCUCCUUCCCAAAUCCAGAAUUCCUCCGAGUAUCAUUUCUUCUUUGUGUCCCACAGCUCCAAAUUUCUUUGAGUUCUCUCUUCUGCACCAAACUAGCUCUGCAUCAGAUACAGUUCCCACAAAUCCCAUCUUUCUAGGUUCUCUCAAAAAUAAGCACAUAGACAAUAUUUCUUUUCACAGUUUUUCUACUAUUAUCUUUGAUGCUGUCUAACUGCAUAGUCACAAGGGAACUUCAUGAGCACAGACUCAUGAUAAAGAGAAGAUGGAGUAGGACUGCCAUUUUCUAAUUCAGCAAGAAGUCAAGAAGUAUAGGAUAGGUGUGAAGGAUGGUGAGAUCUGUAAAUGUGUAAGCUUCAUAACUUCUCUGUGACUUGCUUAGCUUUAUUCUGUUUUUUUUUUUGUUGGCAAACUGUAGCUAAGCAUGAAAUAAAAUAGAAGUUUUCAGGGUCAAUGAGAACAUUUUAUCUGGCUACAUAAAAAAGAUGAUUGCCUUUAGCAUAUUCGGUGCAUAAACUAUGUCAUGUACCAGACACUAUAGUAGGUGCUAUGAGGGAAUAAAGAUGAGUACAACACAGUAUCUGCUCUCAAGGAGGUUGCAGCUAGUUGGUGAGACUGAUUCAUAAAUAGUAGAUUGUAAUAAAAGAAAAGUUGGAAUACAGAUGAAAUGUGUUCAACAAGAGUAAAGUGAAAUUACAUCCAAUUAGGAGGUUGUCCUUGAAAGAUAAGUAGAAUAGCGAUAGAGGAACAUGAUGGCAGGGUAUUUCAUAUUAAAGGGAGAGCCUUAUCAGUAUCAAACAAGGGCAGAAGCCUAAAUAUGCUUAUAAAAUGAGGAGGUGAGCCCCGUGACUCAAGUGUGGGGUAUAUAAAAGGAUGUGGUGGGAAAGGAGUCUGGAGAGACAAAGAACCUUGGUUAUAAGUACCAUUGAGUCGUUGGGUAAGAAGUGUGGUCACUGAUGUGUCAUCAUUUGGGAAUGAUAGACUGGCUUAAACAGGGAAAUGGUAUAAAUAAAACCAGAAGAUAACUCUGGCUGGCUGUGAGUGGUGGGCCAAGAGGAAUAAUAUCCUUAGCAAAUAUUAAUAACAGUCUGGAGAGAACAAGUGAGGGCUUGAGUGGGGAGCAACAAAGAAAAACAGAGAAUCACUGAAAUGAUUUUAGUAGAACCAGAAGCCACUAUAUAUGGCAGUAUCAUUCCUUCCCCCAAAGGAAAAUCAGAGACUCCACUGUUGGGGCUACAUUUAUAGACUCAAAGAACCGACAAAUGUCAAAUCCAGAAGGGGUCCGUGAGAUUAUGUUGUUUUGGCAGGUGGAAAAACUGGGAAGCCAAGAGAGGUCUACUGACCCCAAGCUAGUACUGCAUCCACUGCUCCAGCAGUUCCUUUAGUGUAAAAGCGUAGCUUACCACCCCUGAGGUCAAGGGCCAGUGAGGGCCAACAUUUCAUGCUCUUUUUAGGUUAUAUGUACCUUAAUGUACUCAGUGUAAAUGAGUUUUAGUUCCCAUUCUUUUCUGAGGCUUUGAGGUCAGAAAAGAUCUUCUUGAAAAAGGGAUUAGAGAGGAAAGGAUGUCUGAGUAAGAGAAGAGGUGCAGAUGAGGAGAUAGGUGUAUUAGUUUCUGAGGGCUGCUAUAACAAAUUACCACAAACUGGUGGCUUCAAACAGCAGAAAUUUGAGCUGGGUUGGGUUGCGGGUGCCUAUAAUCCCACCUACUCAGGAGUCUGAGGCUGGAGGAUUUCUUGAGCCUAGGAAUUCAAGGCUGCGGUGCACUGUAAUCCUACCACUGCACUACAGCCUAACUGACAGAGCAAGAUGCCAUCUCUUAAAAAGACACACAAACACACACACACACAGAAAACAAAAUCCACAAAUUUAUUGUCUCACAGUUCUGGAAGCUAGAAGUCCAAACUCAAGGUGUUUGAUAGGAAUAGCAUUGAAUCUGUACAUUGUUUUGGCAAUGUUUUUCACAGGCUUAGAAAAAACUAUUCUUUUUUUAAAAAAAUUUAUUAUUAUUAUACUUUAAGUCUUAGGGUACGUGUGCACAACGUGCAGGUUUGUUACAUAUGUAUACAUGUGCCAUGCUGGUGUGCUGCACCCAUUAACUCGUCAUUUAGCAUUAGGUAUAUCUCCUAAAAACUAUUCUAAAAUUCAUGUGGAAUCAAAAGAGAACCAAAAUAGCCAAAGCAAUCCUAAGCAAAAAGAACCAGCCAGAAGCAUCAUGCUACCCAAAUGCAAAAUAUACUACAAGGCUACAGUAACCUAAACAGAUGGUAAUGAUACAAAAACAGACACAAAGACCAAUGGAACACAUUACAGAACCCAGAAAUAAAGCCACACACCUAUAGCCAUCUGAUCUUCGACAAAGUAAACAAUAACAAGAAAUGGCGAAAGGACUAUUCUAUUCAAUAAAUAUUGCUGGGAUAACUGGCUAGCCAUAUGCAAAAGACUGAAGCUAGACACCUUCUUUUCAUCAUCUACAAAGGUUAACUCAAGAUGGAUUAAAGAUUUAAAUUUAGGACUCCAAACUAUAAAAAUCAUAGAGGAAAACCUAGGAAAUACCGUCCUCCUUGGCAAAGAAUUUGUGGCUAAGUCCCUAAAAGCAAUUGCAACAAAAACAAAAAUUGACAAGUGUGACCUAAUUAAACUAAAGGGCUUCUGCACAGCAAAAAUCAACUCAAGAUGGGUUAAAGACUUAAAUGUAAAACCUAAAACUAUAAAAUCUCUAGAAGAUAUCAGAGGAAAUACCAUUCUAGACAUAGGCCCUGGCAAAGAUUUCACAACAAAGAUGCCAAAAGCAAUUGCAACAAAAACAAAAAUCGGCAAAUGGAACCUAAUUAAACUAAAGGACUGCUGCGCAGCAAAAGAAACUAUCAACAAAGUAAACAGACAACCUACAGAAUGGGAGGAAAUAUUUGCAAACUAUGCCUCUGACAAUGUCUAAUAUCCACAAUCUAUAAGGACCUUAAACAAAUCAACAAGCAAAAGACAACCCCAUUAAAAAUGAGCAAAAUAUAUAAACAAACACUUUUCAAAAGAAGACAUACAUGCAGCCAACAAGCAUAUAAAAAAAUUCAAUAUUACUAAUCAUUAGAGAAAUGCAAAUCAAAACCACAGUGAGAUACCAUUUCACAUCAGUCAGAAUGGAUAUUUAAAAAAAAAUCAAAAAACAACAGAUGCUGGUAAGGCUGUAGAGAAAAGACAAUGCUUAUACACUGCUGGUGGGAAUAUAAACUAUAAUAGUUCAGCCAGUUUACAUUUCCAAACUGUGGUUUGGAGAUUUCUCAAAAAACAUAAAACAGAGCUGUCAUUCAACUCAGCACUCCCAUUACUGGGUAUAUACUCAAAGGAAUAGAAAUUGUUCUACCAUAAAGACAAAUAAGGGCAAAUGUUUGUCCCAGCACUAUUCACAAUAGCAAAGACAUAGAAUUAACCUAAAUGCCCAUAAAUGGUAGACUGGAGAAAGAAAAUGUGGCACAUAUAUACCAUGGAAUACUAUGCAGCCAUAAAAAAAGAACGAGAUCAUGUCCUUUGCAGCAACAUGGGUGGAACUGGAGGCUAUUAUCCUAAGUGAAUGAACACAGGAACAGAAAACCACCCCAAUGCCACAUGUUCUCACUUAUAAGUGGGAGCUAAGCACUGAGUACACAUGGACACAAAGAAGGGAACAAUAGACACUAGGGCCUAUUCAAGGAUGUAAAGUGGAAGGAGGGUGGGGAUUGAAAAAAUAUUUUUUGAGUACUAUGCUUAUUACCUGGGCAAUGAAAUAAUCUGUACACCAAACCUCUGGUGACACACAACUUACCUAUAUAGGAAACCUGCACAUGUACCCCUUGAACCUAAAAUAUAAUUUGGAAGAAAAAAACAAAAAUGAGAUCAAGGUCUUGGUAAGGCCAUGCUCUCUCUGAAGCCUCUAAAGGAGGAUCCUUUCUUGCCUCCUCUAGCAUCUCGCAGCCACAGAAGUUUCUUGGUUUGUAGAUGCAUGAUUCUAAUCUCUGCCUCCACCUUCAUACAGCAUUACCUCUAUCAUUUGUGUCAAGUUUUCUGUUUUCAUAAGGAUAUCAGUCAUAUCGAAUUAGAGUCUACUCUAAUAAACUGACCUUAACUUGAUUUCCUUUGCAAAGACUCUAUUUCCAAAUUAAGUCACAUUCACAGGUAUUGUGGGUCAGAACUUUAACAUAUCUUUUUGAAGAGUCAUAACAGUGGAGCUCUGGAGACAAACCUGGCUGCACACUGUUUUUCCAGGUUGAAUCUAGUAGUGGGGACUCUGCAAGAAAAGGGGUAAGACUGAUUCACUCUCAGAAGAUUCUCUCUCUUUGCCAUACCUGCACGUCUGAUCUGAAUGUCAGAGGGCAAGCAAAUGGUGAACAUUGUCUUCUCAGUUAGGUAGCUGAGAAUAGCAAUGAGAUUUACAUCCUCCUGCAAUUAAACAAAGCAACUGACUACUAGGGAAAUCUUGGGGAAAUUUCUGCCCAAGGAAACUAAGAAGCUUCAUCCCAUUAGGGCAUGACGACUUGAAUUUCAGAUGCAAGGGGGAGAUAGUGUGUAUGUUUUUGUAUCAGCUGGUAGCAACAGGGCAGUCCUUUUGCCCCAUUUGUACAAUAUCCCCAUGACGAAGGCAAUUUUAUUACUCUAAAAUAAGUGAAACUUACUGAAAUGACUAAUAGACCUUAACUAGAUGACAGAAGGUCAAGGUAUAAAUGAAAGAUCCUUCCACAUAUUCAGAGUGUUGGAGUAGGAGGGAAACUUAGAAAUCAACUAGCCCAGGAGUUUUCCUUCUGUAAGAAGAAUGACCAGUUUCAGACCUGAAUGAAGGAAAAUGUUGUUGAUACUGGGGACGAUGUGUGGUAGAAGAGGAGAGAGAGAAAAAUUAGUAGAGAUUUUUGAGGCAAAGAGCCUUCCUCAUGGUUCAUUCAUGACUAUCCUUCCCUGCUUUGAAGGGGGCCUGAUGGCAGCUUCUAGUCUGUGAAUCAUUCAGUAAGGACUCAAUCUAAUUCAGUUUCUUUCUCUUCAAAUGGAAACUGAAGGCAAGAAAGAUGCAAUGACUUGGCAGGUGUCACACAGCGGGGUAGUGUCAGAGUUGCCUCUGGAACCCUGGAUCCUGAUUCUUUCUAGCUCAUUGUGGUAUCUUUCACCCACACCUUGUGACAUAACACAAAUCUGUAAGUGAGUCUUCCCAGCUUUUCAUUAACUUCCCAAUGUAAUGAGAAGAUUUUGAUAUAGUGGCUAUGGGCACUGGAUCAGGGAGCAUUAAUGUAGAUUUCUGGAAUCACGACCACCAAUAUCCACUUUGACUAUCUUCCCUGUGUGUAUUACAGCCUUCUUUUUGCACUGCUUUCUAUAAGGACAUUAUAUCAAGUGUUAAUAGCUAUUAUAUUGACAUAUUGCUUUACUGUGUGACCUUGAACAAAUUAGAUAAUCUCUUUGGACCCCAGUUUUCUUUCUUGAACAUUGACAAGUAAUGUAACUGGUAUAUUAAACAAGCAAAACUCGUGCAACUUCUCUCUGCUAAGGUAUGUUCACUUCUUUCCAAAAGUUGGCUCUCUCACAUGGGUAACCUAUAUGUGUUCAUGGAACACAAAUUAAGCAUUCUUUAUUCCAAUAAACUCUAGGAGAGCAAGGCCUAGAGGGUUGAAUCAUCUUAAUAGCUUUAUUCAGCCUUUAUUCAUGAUUUAAAACAAAAUAAAACAAAAAAACUCUCAAUAAACUAAAAAUGAAAGAAAUUUUUUAAGUUGAGAAAGGAUAAUGAUGAAGAACCUAUAGUUAUCACACUAAGAUUAGGAAAGAAUCAAUAAAUUCUAUUCUCACUGCCUGUAUUCUACAUUGUGUUAUCUGCCCUUGCCAGUGCAACGUGAAAAGACAAAAAUUAUAAAAGUCAUAAAAAUUGGAAAAAUAAAGAGGUAAAACUGCCAUUAUUUGAAGACAACUUAGUUAUGUUGAUAGAAAAUAUAUGACAUUUAUCAAAAAAACCUAUCAGAAAUAAUAAUUUAUCAAAAUUGGAGGAUUUGAGGGCAAAAUACAAAGUCAAUUUCCUUUUAAUAGGUUAGGAGCAAAGAAAUGGGAAAUAACAUUUCAAAACAACACCAUUUACAAUAGCAUCAACAUAUAUUAAGUACCUAGGAAAUGAUCUAAUGAAAUAUGUACAAAACUGCUGCACUGACAAUGUCAAAGCAUCACUGAGAGAAAUUUAAAACCUAAAUAAAUGGGGAGUUAUACCUUAUUUGUAGAUAGGCAUAUUCAAAAAUGUUAGGAAUCUAUUCUCCCUAAAUUGAUCUAUAGAUUUAGUGCAAUCCAUACUGAAAUUCCAGUAUGCUUUUUUGAACAUAUUGAAUAGCUAAUUCUAAAAUUUAUUUAAAUGCAAAGGUUUAGAAUAUCCAAAAUAAUUUUAAGAAAAUAAGAAAUGUGUAAAACGUCUUCAACACUCUGAUUUCAAGACUUAUUACCGUAAUGAAGACAGUAUGGUAUUGACAUAAUGAUGUACAAAUAGAUCAAUGGAACACAACAGAGAAUUUGGAAAUAAAACCACAUAUAAACAAUCAGUUGAUUUUUUUCUUUUUUAAAAUAUUUAUGUAUUUAUUUAUUAAUUUAUUUUUGAGAUGGGGUCUCACUCUGUCACUCAAGCUGGAGUGCAGUGGCACUGAUCUCAGCUCACUGCAACCUCCACCUCCUGGGCUCAAGCAAUCCUCCUACCUCAGCCUCCUGUGUAGCUAGGACCACAGGCACAGGCCACCACACCUGGUGAAUUUUUUGUAUUUUUGGUAAAGACGGGGUUUCACCAUGUUGCCCAGGCUAGUCUCAAACUUCUGAGCUCAAGCAAUCUGCCUGCUGCAGCCUCCCAAAAUGCUGAGAUUACAGGCAUGAGCCACCGCACCCCAGUUGAUUUUUUUUUUAAACCAAGCUGCCAAGUCAAUGCACUGAGGAGAAGAAAGACUUAUCAGCAAAUAGUGCCACGUCAACUGCAUAUCUGUAUGGAACAAAUGAACCUUGGAAUUUUUUCUGAAUAUAAUAAUAAUAAUAAUAACAAUUGAGAUAGAUCACAGACUUAAGCACAAAACACAGUUCCAUAAAGCUUCUAGAGGAAAACAUAGGAAAAUGUCUUGCUGGCCUAAGGAUAAACAGAGAUUUCUUAAAAAGGAAACAAAAAGCUUUACUCAUUUAAAGCAAUUUGAUAAAUUGGUCUUCAUCAAAAUUAAUUUUUUUCUUUUAAAGGACACAAUUUUUAAAAGAGUAGCCAGAAUAGAAAAAAGAUACUUGUCCCUUGACUAUUACAAAAAAUUCCUACAAAACAAAGGUAAAAGAUUAUGAGCAAUUCAGUUAAAAGUGGCAAAACCUUUGAACAGACACUUCACAAAAGAAGAUGUGUGAAUGUUCAAUAAGCACGUGAAAAGUUACUUAACCUCGUUCGUCAACAGGGAAACGUACACUAAAGUUACAAUGCAGUAUAUAUCAUAUCCAUCAGAAUGUCUCUAAUUGAAAAGAUUGACAACACUAAAUGUUGAUGAAGACAUACAGCAACUGGAACUUUCAUACAUUGCUAGUGAUGGUAUCAAAUGGAACAGUAACUUUGAAGGACUGUUCAAUAUUUCCAAAAUUAAACAUACACCUACCCUGUGACCCAGCAAUUCCCUUCCUAAAGUUUAUUCCAGAUAAAUAAAAAUUUAUGUCCUAAAAAGACUUGUACAAAAAUGCAUAUAAUGAUCUUACUCAUCAUAGCCAAAAACUAGAAAUGACCUAAACGUUCGUUAACAGGAGGAUAAAUAAAUUUCAAUAUAUUCAUAUAGUGGUGAAAUAUUUAACAAUUUUAAAAGGUAAACUACUGUUACAUACAACAACAUGAAUGAUUUUCACAAACAUUAUAUCAAAUGAAACAAAGCAGAACAAAAAAGAAUACACUGUAUGAUUCCAUUUAUAUGAUGUCUAACAUCAAGCAAAACUAACUGAUAGUAGUAAAAAUCAGAAAAAAGUUGCUCCAGGGUGAGAAAUGUGUACUGAACAGAAGGAGGGAUAAGAGAAUUUCUUGGUGUGAUGUAUGUUCUAUAUUGGAGGGUAGAUAGAUAAAUGGGUAGAUACGGUUGGUCAAAAUAUAGAUAUAGGCAUAGAUAGAUGUGGAUGUAUAUAUGAAAUAGUGGAUUGAUUCCACAAAUAAUUAUUGAUCAGCUACUAUGUACAAGGUACUGCUGUGGACACUGGGGAUCCAUUAGUGAUUAACACAGACAAAAACUCUUCUUUCUCAAUGGGGUUCACAUUCCAGUCAGCAUGUAAUUAAAUUAAUUAGCUGCAUUAUUAUUUGAAAUAGGUAACAAUUGGAAACAAUCUUUAUGUCCAUCAAGAGGAAAGUUUAAAUAACUUAUGUUACAUCCUUGUGAUGGGAUAUUAUUCAGCUAUAAAAGUGAAUAAAUUUUUUAUAUACUGGUGAGAAUAAUCUUUAAGACUUCUUGUUUACUGAAGAUAGCAAGAUACAGUAAAAUGUGUAUAGUGUGCAGCCAUUUGUACAAAAAUGAGAAGCAAACAUAUAUGUACUUAGCUAUCUGUUUAUGUAUAAAAUUUCUCUGAAGUAUUACUUAAGCAAUUGAUAAGAUAGGUUGCUUCCAAAAGAUAAAAACUACAGGAUAGGAGUGCAUGAUCUUUUAUACAUUUUAAGUUUGGAGCCAUGUAAAUAUAUAACCUAUAAGCAAAUAAAUAAAACAAAAAUUGUUUAAAAUAUUUUACAAUUGGAGAAAGCAAACACGUAUUUCUUUUUUUAUUAAACUUUAAGUUCUAGGGUACAUGUGCACAACGUGCAGGUUUAUUACAUAUGUAUACAUGUGUCACGUUGGUAUGCUGC
rnacentral:lncRNA from 1 species